AGAGUUUGAUCCUGGCUCAGGAUGAACGCUGGCGGCAUGCCUAAUACAUGCAAGUCGAACGAGAGGAAGGAAAGCUUGCUUUUCUGAAUCUAGUGGCGAACGGGUGAGUAACACGUAGGUAACCUGCCCAUGUGCCCGGGAUAACUUCUGGAAACGGAUGCUAAAACCGGAUAGGUAGCAGACAAGCAUUUGACUGCUAUUAAAGUGGCUUUGGCCAUGAACAUGGAUGGACCUGCGGUGCAUUAGCUGGUUGGUGAGGUAACGGCCCACCAAGGCGACGAUGCAUAGCCGGCCUGAGAGGGCGGACGGCCACAUUGGGACUGAGACACGGCCCAAACUCCUACGGGAGGCAGCAGUAGGGAAUUUUCGUCAAUGGGGGGAACCCUGAACGAGCAAUGCCGCGUGAGUGAGGAAGGUCUUCGGAUCGUAAAGCUCUGUUGUAAGAGAAAAACGGCACUCAUAGGGAAUGAUGAGUGAGUGAUGGUAUCUUACCAGAAAGUCACGGCUAACUACGUGCCAGCAGCCGCGGUAAUACGUAGGUGGCGAGCGUUAUCCGGAAUGAUUGGGCGUAAAGGGUGCGUAGGUGGCAGAUCAAGUCUGGAGUAAAAGGUAUGGGCUCAACCCGUACUGGCUCUGGAAACUGAUCAGCUAGAGAACAGAAGAGGACGGCGGAACUCCAUGUGUAGCGGUAAAAUGCGUAGAUAUAUGGAAGAACACCGGUGGCGAAGGCGGCCGUCUGGUCUGGAUUCUGACACUGAAGCACGAAAGCGUGGGGAGCAAAUAGGAUUAGAUACCCUAGUAGUCCACGCCGUAAACGAUGAGAACUAGGUGUUGGGGGAAUAACUCAGUGCCGCAGUUAACGCAGUAAGUUCUCCGCCUGGGGAGUAUGCACGCAAGUGUGAAACUCAAAGGAAUUGACGGGGGCCCGCACAAGCGGUGGAGUAUGUGGUUUAAUUCGAAGCAACGCGAAGAACCUUACCAGGCCUUGACAUCCCUUGCAGAGGUAUAGAGAUAUAUCCGAGGUUAUCAAGGAGACAGGUGGUGCAUGGUUGUCGUCAGCUCGUGUCGUGAGAUGUUGGGUUAAGU
rnacentral:rRNA from 1 species